UAAGCAUAACUAGGGCAGAAUCAGUCAGGGCAAAGAUAGGUGAUUUCUGCGAGGGAAGAACUCCUUGAAAAUGGAACUUAUUCAGAUCCUGAAACAUAGAAAGCACAGCAUAGGAAUCCCAACGAGCCUUACCAACAAUUGGGGAAAUUACACUAUUUAGCGCCUCCUGUCAUCUCCAUGUGAGAAGAAACACUCUUUUACACUAGUAUCCUUGAAGUGCAACUGGAAAUCGGGGGCUGUGAAUAUGAACCCGCUCCCACGGGCCUCAAGGGUACCAAGAGUGGCAGGGCCUUCAAGGAUAACAUCAGGUAACUGUAAAAUCCAGUGGUUUUCCUGCUUAGGGUACAUAUAUUCCUGAAUACGAGGGUCAGCCCAAUACAAGUCCAUGUUCUCGGCAGCAGAACAAUUUCCGACAGAUCCAGUUGCAGUCUCACCACCCAACAAUCUAUCGGCACAUCUUCUCUUUAAAAGGUGAAGCGCUUCAAGUUUCUUCGACAACAACUUCUGCUCUAUCAUGUCCAACGUCUCACGCACUGAAGAUGACAUAUUUUUAAGGAAUGCGGGUGCAGAUUGACAAGCAAAACAAAAUAUCGGCCUGGGACAGAAAAGAAAGACAGCAACAAAUAAAAAAAAAAAAUUGUUCCUUGGUACAAAAACUGCGGAGGGGAUCGAAAUGAAAUAAACGUCAUACUUCAUAAAAUUAUACAUAUGAAGACAAGAAGUUGAUUUGGAAACUAAGCAACUUUCUAGAUUUAUGAUCUGAGAGUCGGAUACAAAAUGAAAUAAACACGUACUUCAUAAGAACGGAAAAUCAGAACUCCAGCAGUACUGACUUUGAGCCACAAAAAGUAAAUAAAAAUAAAUCAAUUUUUAUUGGCUCAUGAAUAUAUAGGCUUACGGUUGAAACCUAGGAACUAAAAAAAAAAUAGAUCGAGAUCAAUCAGUAUUGGAUAAUUCAUGUAUACAAAUUAUGAACUGGA